rnacentral:lncRNA from 1 species
AAGUCAUAACUUAAAAAGGAGACUUCAACCCAGUUGUCCUGAGGAAUCAUCAGCUCCCAGAGAUUCCAAUAACAGAUUUGUCCUGGCUCUUCUUUUCAGUCUUCUUACCUCGAACUUGAACAAAAAAUCCCUGUGACUGCCAAUUCCAGAACUGACUGAAAGAAGGACAAAUGGGUCAGGUGUGCAUAUUACACGCAUACCAGAACUGUGAAUUUAUAAAAGUUAAUUUGGAGUCUCAGUCUAGAUUCUGAUACUUGGAAGUAUUUGAAAGUAAUCCUGGAACCUUCAGGCAGUGCUUUGAGGAGAAAGCACUGACUGUCUAAAGAAGUCACACAACUGUAAAAAUGUGUGUGACACAUAUUUCUGUUGCAUGAUGUAGACUGGUCCAUCUCUGCAGCAUCCAGCAUCACUGUCAUGACUGUCAAGAUACUGACAAGGAGUCAAGCCAAGUCACAGGCAAAAUCUGAAUCAACAUUUUUUUUUUCUAAAUGGAGGUGACUCCAUUUAGGAGUCAGGAGCAAGGAACUCCCAGUAUGGAAACUCCCUCUACGUACUGUUACAAAUAUGAGGAAAUUCCAUUUCUGUGUGACUCAGUUGCAAAUAACACAUUUUGAGCUGUUUUUGAUCAUUUCCAUAAUCAGUCAAAGAAUCAGCCAAAAGAUGCCGCUUACUACUUGUGUGACCUCGGAUAAGCCACCUAAGGAUGUCUACGCAAGUUUGCAGAAAUGUUCUGUGGAUUUCACUGGUCCCUGCUUCAUGGCUGACACUUCUGAUGGUAGCCAAGAGGAAGGUCUCCAGGGAUUUCAGCUCCAGCUGAGUGAUGUGUUUUUAGCUCCAGAUUGGCAAGCUGUUGGAACGGCAGGCUUUGCUUCCGAGCAAGGCUGAGGAGGUGUUUUGGGGAGGUGGAAGGAUUGGAAGGUAAAAAUUUACCUUGAAAAGCCGAGGGCUGAUCAGACCUAGUUUUUCAUCCUACACUGAGCCCAUAUGAGAGAAUUAAUAAAUGUUUUUAAGUAGUAAGAAGACA